CACGUCCCGGCCGCUCCAGGGGCGCGUUGGCUUGGCUCGCGGCAGGAGGAAGACGAUGCAGUAACGUGGUGGCUGUGAUGCCAAGUGCUUGUGCGAGAGCUCCCAUCCAGGACAAUAGCUAAUACGCAGCCUUCUGGAUAGACUUGGUUUCGGUGAACUUGAGCGGGUUUGUCCAGUACUAGGCCUAGUUAGGCUUGAACUAUCUCCAAGGGCAGAGACUCCACAACUUCUGCAGGUAACUUGUUCCAGUGUUUGAUCACUUUCAGAAUACAAAUAUUUCUUAUUUUCUUGAAGUGGGACUUGCAUGUUUUUCAGUCAACUGCCCACUGCUUCUUGGCAUGUUCUCUCAUGUUCUCCUCAGAUAUCAGAUGCUCCAAGCCCUUAAUCAACUUCACUGUACUUGUUCCAUUAUGUCCAUGUCUUCCUUGUACUGGGGAAGCUGAAACUGAAUCCACUGCUGGGAAGAUGAGAAGAAUUGACUCCCUUACCUGCUAGUGAUGCUUUUUCUAACAGAGGCUAUUGGUCUUCCAAAUGACUUAAUUUGUGCUUAGGUAGUAAAUGUAUGCAGUGAAUGGGCAGUGAAAUUCAUGGGAAUAAUUAAAAUGGACACAUGGUGGCUGGCAUUGUCAGUGCUCUGACCCUUGAACAAGAAAUAGGCAAAGCAACAAGUAAUAUGUACUGAGGGAAAGGAAACUUUCAGGGCAUGAUUCUCCUGUGGCAGUGCUGCUGGAUGGUGCUAUUGUUUUGAGGCACCCUGCUUCAACUUGUGGCUGACAUUUCAGGUGAGUUACCACGGUUUGGUGAGCAGCACUGUUUAGAUGGAAGGGCACGGCUGUAUCCAGCAAGGCCAGGUUUUGCUAAUGUGAAGGGCAGUGCAGCUGGGGAACCUGGCAGGACAAGAGGGCUGAGGCAAAGCAGCUGGUGGGAGGUAGCUGGGCCGUGGAGGCUGAGCUAAUGAGGCUGCAGUGCACACAGUAGUGGGGCUGGCAUGGCUGAGCUGGGAGGGCUGAGAAGGCAAGACGUGGGUACACGACUAGGUUGACCUGGGCUGUGUCCCGCAUAAUAUGCUGGCAGAGUUAAGACCAGAGCUUAGCUGGAUGUUAAGAAUGAGACUCACAGGAAGAUUCAGGGCCAGGGCACUGGCCCGCUGAGAGGGAGGGACCACGGAGAGAGGCAGGGCGGCCAAGCCGGGUCCUUCAGUUCAACGGGACGGGCCGAGCUAGACUGGGGGCUGGGUCCGGCCGGAGGGGGCUGCGCAACUCGCCAAUUCUCUCCAGUGGCAGCCGGAGGUGGCGGGGGCGACCAGAUUGCGGCCGGGGCGGGGAGAGGGAGAGAGAGCGCUGAGGGGCGACUCCUCCCCCGCCACACCCGGUGCGGCAGGAAGAGGAACAGCCGCACCUAGCUCCCGCUAGCCCCGGCCCAGCGCAGCGCCAUGGCGGCAGAGGACGUGGACGGGCUGGCCGUGUCCCGGCCCCACUAUGGCUCUGUCUUGGAUAAUGAGAGAUUAACAGCAGAGGAAAUGGAUGAAAGGCGACGCCAGAAUGUGGCCUAUGAAUACCUUUGUCACCUGGAGGAAGCAAAGAGGUGAGAAUAAUUGAUCUUGAAACUGCUGGUGAAGAUGUGACCUGUGGUACAUCUUGUCUCCAUUUCUUAAUAGCUAUAUAGUUUCAGUAGAGUAAACAACCAACCAAAGCAACUCUUUUCCUCCCCGAAAAACCAACCGACCUCUGAUGUGUGUAUCUAGUGUUCUCAAAGACUUCAUGACAAGGGCUCUAUAGCUGUAUUACUCUGUUAUUCCUAGCACUGGAUGGGUUCUCCUGAUACCAUGAUGAUUUUUUACCUUUUCUUUUUAUAUACCUCUUAUAUAUUCCUAAUACCCUCAACAUGUGUGCUUGUAAUUCUUUAAGUCUAAUAUCUUAGCAUAGUUCUGGUAUUCUGUUAAGCCAGAAGACCAAACAUCCUAAAGGUCUCCCAGUCAGAGGCUGAAAUACCUUAUGGUAUCUUGAAAAACCAAGACCCCCUCUAAAGCAUAUCCUGUAAACUAAAAUUAAGCCCAUCUGGGGAAAAAUACUUUAAGGUAAGAAAAUGUCACACUGUUCAUUUAAACCUCUCAUUGGAGAAUUAUUGUUAAGUAUGCUAAUUUACAAAGGCUGUAAAAUUGUAUAUGCAAUCUGCCAUGUGUGAACAUUUCAGAGUAUUCCACCUUGGCAAGUUAUUGCACCAUAAAAAUCCUUAUUAGAUACCGAGAUAAAAAACCCUUUAUCCCUUAACCGUGUCUAACUCUUAAUUCUAAAUCCCUCCCCGUUGUCUAACUUGUAUCUGGUGCAGUAUUGCUUCCCAGCUUAGCAGUGCACAUGAAAAACAAUUAUUCCCUUCCUCUUAACUGAAACCUUGUACAAAUUUGAAGUGUAGCAGUGUAUAUCCCUUGCACACUGAGAACUCAUUUCUUGUGUAUUUCUCCAUGCAUCCAUCUGUUUAAUAGGUCUGUAGUACUUUUCCCUGAGUUGCUCGGAUUUCUCUCCAGGCACUCAGUGUCUUUCUGGAAGUCCACUGCCAAAAGAGAAAAAUCUUUUCCAACAAGGCGUUAGUGGGCAUACUUCAAAAGAGUGCAAUGAUUAUUUUGUAUACACCAAUAGAUUUGAUAGUAUCGUACAUGAUUGCAUGGUAUCUGCUUUUUCGUCAUGUUAUGGUAUAGUAGAGUUUUCCUGAUUUGUCACCUUGAAGUUGUGCUGCUGAAUAAUACGUUCCACAGUAACAUCUUUAAUAUUUUCAUCUAGCCCUUGCUUGGGGACUAACUCUUUAAGUAAAUCAGCUUUGACUCUGAAGUUCUUGUCUCUGCUUCUGAGUGUUGUCUUGAUAUUGAUGAUGUUGAGCAACUGGGCAUUUGAUUUUUGCCACACCUUGUCAAAAAAAAAAGAAGUUUUCAAUUUUGUCUCAGGGUGAGCCUUGAGGUGUUUCAAAUAAUGCCUAGUGGUUGCUAGUAUGUUUUGUAAAGAAUGAAGCAAUGGCUGUGUUGCUCAAAAUUCAAGUAGUGGUGUACAACCUUCCUUGUAUCCACUUUAGCAGUUGGAGCACUUAUUUUCCAAGUGGAAGGUUUGCUUGGAGAGCCUCAACCCUUAUCCAGCCCAUAACCUAUGUUUGCUUAGUGGCAUAAAGGCUGUCCAUGUGUAUGUGAGUCGGAGUUCCUGAUUUCUAAAGUUAAGGCCAUCUCACUUAACGUAAGAGUUAAAGAUUAAAUGACCAGGAGAGGAGCAGACUUUUGAGUUUAAUAAUUAAGAUACACAAGGGAGAGCAAAGGCUUGAUUUCACUGUCUGCUUCCAGGAAUUUUUUUUCCUUCCUGAGAAGUUAUUUUGUAAAUUACCCUUCGAGUUUUAUUUAUUACUGCUAGUACAGUCUGGAAGAGGGCUUUUGGCCGCUUUGUUGGUAAAGAGUUCAAUUAACAGAAACAAUUAAACGAGAGCUAUAAAAGAUCGGUAUGUUUGAAGUGAAUGCCCUUGAUGUGAGAUUUUCUGUAUUUGACUUCUUUGCCAGUAGUGUAACUGAGGCAUAGCAUCUGUAUACUGUAGCAUUUUGCUUGUGCUGUUGAUAACAGUCCCUCUCAGCUGUGAGAGGGCUAAUAAUCUUUCUUCACGAUGAGGGAAGGUCAGAUUGGAAGUUGUAUCUCUAAGGAGAAGAGGAGGACCUUAGAGCACAGGAAGGUAGCUGGUGUACUCUGUGUCACACUCAGAAGCUGAAAAGGUGAAGCUGAAAAUUGUGAAGCUGAUGGUAGCCAAGGGCAAGGUGGGAGGCAGCUGGAGAACACCACUUGUUGACUCCUCUCCUCUUUCCCAUAAUCGUGUUACAUUAUUGCAGUGUAAUAUUGCAUUCAAACACUGUAGUUUGUAUUCAUUUUUUUCCUACAACACAAAGGCAUCUAAAAUCGUGUGAUUAACAACAUGCUGAUUUGCAUUGCAUCUCUUGCUAUCCCUUUAACUGAGCAACAGAUAUGGAAUCUAGAAGCAAAGUAGGGUUUUUUUAAAUGUUAGAAGAAAGUGAGAUGAAAAUUGGCUAGCACCUAAUUUUGUACUGAAAUAAAAAAUUUAGAAAAGUUUGAAUUUCUGAACUGUCUGACAUGACGGCCCAUAUGCAGUAACUUUGAGUACUUAUGUACUCAAUUUAUGGCAAUUUAUAGCUGUUUGCAGGACCUGUCUGCUAAUGAGCGUACAUCAGGAGCAUUAUUAGAGGAAUAAUUUGUGCUUAUUCAAUGGUAUUUCAGCAUGUUUUGUUGAGUUUUUUUCAUUGUCACUGUUUUUCUAUUGUUAUGUAGUAGUUUUUUUAGUUCAGUCAAUAAUGUGCAACGGUCUUGUGAAACAGGAAUUAAUUCUUGCUAGUUGGAGAAAGGGAAGCAGAGUGCAACUAAGUUGCUCAAGAUUGUGAAAGACUGACAUGAAAUUUGGAAUUAAAAUAAAGAUUGUGAAUAAAGGGAUUCCUUUACUAUCUGUGGACCAGAUGCCUCAUUCUUGAAGAA